UACGAAGGGGGCGAGCGUUGUUCGGAUUUACUGGGCGUAAAGGGCGCGUAGGCGGGAUGGCAAGUCGGUCGUGAAAUCCCUCGGCUCAACCGAGGAACGUCGAUCGAUACUGCUGUUCUUGAGGAUUGCAGAGGAGACUGGAAUUCCCGGUGUAGCGGUGAAAUGUGUAGAGAUCGGGAGGAACACCGGUGGCGAAGGCGGGUCUCUGGGCAAUUCCUGA
rnacentral:rRNA from 1 species